GUAAAAGCUACAGUGAAAGUCAAUGCACGGACCCUUUUGCUGCUCCGGAAAACUCCUCUCAAGACGGUAUGUUCGCUGUUUGCACGAGUGAGUCCUGCAGCCGUCGGAAUGGACCGUGACGAUACUUGACCGGAGUCAGAGCUGUAACUGCAGUCGCAGACAUCACUUGUUAGCUCUACAGUAGUUUAGGUUGUACUAGUCCUCAAUCUUGGAGUGAAACAGGACUCAUUUCCUUUUCAAACAACAAACAUCUCUGGAUGUCCAAGCAGAUGACAUGUUAAGGGACCAGCAAAGGACUACCAUGGGCAUCUAGGUCAUCAAGGUGGAAGGUAGAGACAUUGGAGUCUAUGCAGAUGUUGGAAUUGUUAUCGACUGCAUCGUCAUUCUGGACAAUCUGAACACUGUAGCAAGAGCCUGUGCAAUGAUGUUAGGGAUGAUUUAUGCACUAAACCCGCAGUAUCCCAAAGAGCUAAAAUGCUACUAUGAAUUUGUGCAAAACCUAUACUAAAGCAAAUCAAUGCUAAAAGGCUGCCCCCUAAACUUUUUGGCCUGAACAACAUGAUAUGUGCAAAUCUGUAGUGUCUGUUCUUGUCCUGUAAAGUAUUUCUGUAAUACUCUUAAAGUGAGGAUUUUGUUCUGUUGUAAAGUUGUACUUUAUGAGAUUCUUCAAAUGCGCAGUUUCAUAU